UACAGAGGUCCCAAGCGUUGUUCGGAUUCACUGGGCGUAAAGGGUGCGCAGGUGGGUUGGCAAGUUCGAUGUGAAAGCCCCGGGCUUAACCCGGGAAUGGCAUUGGAUACUGUUGAUCUGGAGGGUCGGAGGGGGGACUGGAAUUCUUGGUGUAGCAGUGAAAUGCGUAGAUAUCAAGAGGAACACCAGUGGCGAAGGCAGGUCUCUGGGCCACUACUGACGCUGAGAAGCGAAAGCAUGGGGAGCGAACAGG
rnacentral:rRNA from 1 species